GGACAUCAUGGGGACAUCCUUGGGGACAUCCAUGGGGACAUCCAUUGGGACACUAUGGGGACACCGAGGGAUAUCGUGGAGAUACUCAUGGGGACACCAGGGGACACCAUGGGGACACCAUGUGGACAUCCUUGGGGACAUUAUAUGGACAUCAUGGGGACAUCCAUUGGGACACCAUUGGGACACCAUGGGGACAUCCAUUGGGACAUCCAUUGGGACAUCCAUUGGGACACCGUGGGGACAUCAUGGGGACACUUAUGGGGACACUUAUGGGGACACCACAGGGACAUCAUGGGGACAUCCAUUGGGACACCAUGGGGACAUCCAUUGGGAAGUCCAUUGGGACACCAUGGGGACACCAUGGGGACAUCCUUUGGGACAUCCAUGGAGACCCCAUGGGGACAUCCAUUGGGACACCAUGGGGACACCAUGAGGACACCAUGGGGACACCGACUGGGACACCACAGGGACACCGCUUGGUCACCCAUUGGGACACCCCUGGGAUUGGGGACACGGGGCCAAAGAUGCCACGCCAAACCAUCCCCACCCCACGUCCUCCCACUGCAAGCCGCUCCCCCAUUUUAA
rnacentral:lncRNA from 1 species